AGAGUUUGAUCAUGGCUCAGAUUGAACGCUGGCGGCAUGCUUUACACAUGCAAGUCGAGCGGCAGCGCGGGGGCAACCCUGGCGGCGAGCGGCGAACGGGUGAGUAAUGCAUCGGAACGUACCCUGGAGUGGGGGAUAACGCCGCGAAAGCGGCGCUAAUACCGCAUAUGCUCUGAGGAGGAAAGUGGGGACCGCAAGGCCUCACGCUCUGGGAGCGGCCGAUGUCCGAUUAGCUAGUUGGUGGGGUAAAGGCUUACCAAGGCGACGAUCGGUAGCUGGUCUGAGAGGAUGAUCAGCCACACUGGGACUGAGACACGGCCCAGACUCCUACGGGAGGCAGCAGUGGGGAAUUUUGGACAAUGGGGGCAACCCUGAUCCAGCCAUGCCGCGUGAGUGAAGAAGGCCUUCGGGUUGUAAAGCUCUUUUGGUCGGGAAGAAAGCGCCUUGCCUAAUACGCGAGGUGGUUGACGGUACCGGCAGAAUAAGCACCGGCUAACUACGUG
rnacentral:rRNA from 1 species